rnacentral:rRNA from 1 species
CAAUAGCGUAUAUUAAAGUUGUUGCGGUUAAAAAGCUCGUAGUUGGAUUUCUGCUGAGGACGACCGGUCCGCCCUCUGGGUGAGCAUCUGGUUCGGCCUUGGCAUCUUCUUGGGGAACGUAGCUGCACUUGACUGUGUGGUGCGGUAUCCAGGACUUUUACUUUGAGGAAAUUAGAGUGUUUCAAGCAGGCGCACGCCUUGAAUACAUUAGCAUGGAAUAAUAAGAUAGGACCUCGGUUCUAUUUUGUUGGUUUCUAGAGCUGAGGUAAUGAUUAAUAGGGAUAGUUGGGGGCAUUCGUAUUUAACUGUCGGAGGUGAAAUUCUUGGAUUUGUUAAAGACGGACUACUGCGAAAGCAUUUGCCAAGGAUGUUUUCAUUGA